UGGGGAAUAUUGCACAAUGGGCGAAAGACUGAUGCAGCAACGCCGCGUGAGCGAUGAAGGCCUUCGGGUCGUAAAGCUCUGUCCUCAAGGAAGAUAAUGACGGUACUUGAGGAGGAAGCCCCGGCUAACUACGUGCCAGCAGCCGCGGUAAUACGUAGGGGGCUAGCGUUAUCCGGAAUUACUGGGCGUAAAGGGUGCGUAGGUGGUUGCUUAAGUCAGAGGUGAAAGGCUACGGCUCAACCGUAUUAAGCCUUUGAAACUGAGAAGCGUGAGUGCAGGAGAGGAGAGUAGAAUUCCUAGUGUAGCGGUGAAAUGCGUAUAUAUUAGGAGGAAUACCAGUUGCGAAGGCGGCUCUCUGGACUGUAACUGACACUGAGGCACGAAAGCGUGGGGAGCAAACA
rnacentral:rRNA from 1 species